GGUUAAGUGCAGUUAGACGAAAAGACCCUAGAAGCUUUACUAUAACUUUAUAUUGAGCAUGUUUUUGGACUGCGUAGCAUAGAUGGGAGGGGUCUGAUGUAUACGGUUUCGGCUGUAUUCUACCCAACAGUGAAAUACCAUUCUUUUUGAAGGCAUGUUCUAACCAAUACGGCAAAAACGUAUUGAAACAGUAUAUGGUGGAUAGUUUUACUGGGGCUGUACCCUCGAGGGUUUAAAUUUAUUUGAACCUUCGAACUUUGUAGCCCCAAGCAGGUUUAAUCCACCUGUAAAACAAAUAAAUGGGGGGCUUUCACGAAACAGAUAGAGUUUUAGACUCUAGAUAGAGGCUAAACCUCUAUCUGUAACUGUAAUCGUGAUUGGAAAGUUGGGAAUUUGCUGGAAAAACCGGUGUAUGGUAUAUUACUUGCUAGUAAUAUUAUUAGAUAAGUAACAAUGUAUACCUGCGGUCAAUCAGCAGGGAAUUAAAAAAUUAUGAACGAACGAAAGCCAAAUGAUAAAGAAAAAGAUGAAGAAUUUAAUAAAGAUAUGGAAAUAACACAUAUUGAAGUUCUUAAGAAUCAUAUUGUGAGACUAAAAAAAGAAUUACAAGAGGCAGAAACGAAACUUCAAGGAUUACUUAAUAAAUAAAAUAAUUUUAAUUCCCUCAGAGACUACAAACCAACCAUCUUGAAAAAGAUGAAUGUAUAGUCCGAUCUUCAUGGCGACAUGAAGUUAACAAAAAUGCCUAAAAAGUAAAGGAGGGGUUUAAAGGUAAGCUAGGCGCGAAUGGAAACCGUGCCGAUAGUGUAAUGGCACAAGCUUGCUUGACUGUAAGGGGUACAUCCCGAGCAGGUGCGAAAGCAGAACAUAGUGAUCCGACCAUACGUAUUAGAUGCGGUGGAAGCUCAACGGAUAAAAGCUACUCUAGGGAUAACAGGCUAGUUCCGCCCAAGAGUUCAUAUCGACGGCGGAGUUCGGCACCUUAACUCUCAACUAAACACUGAGAAACAUCGGGGUGCCUAUCGCAGUAAUGCGAUAAAAAAAUAAUUUGGCUUAUAACGGUGGACUCCAUGCACUAGUCUUAUGCCUCAAUGGUAUAAUAGAAACAUGGACAAUACCGCGGGAAGUCUAAAUCAAUUACAAAAAUCUUUUCUUAUUGGAACUCUUUUAGGAGACGGGUAUCUCCGUCAACUAAAAGGUAGAAGAAAUGCGUUUCUUGAAGUAAAUCAUUCCAUAACUCAAAAAGAAUAUGUUGAAUGGAAAUAUGAAUUACUGAAAAAUUUAACGCGAAGUGGUCCUAAAUCCAGAAAUGGAAACGGGACUAGGAUAGCGUAUAGAUUUUAUACGAAACAACACCCAGAAUUUACAAAAAUAAUGGAGCUGUUCUAUAAAAAUAAAAAGAAAUGUAUUCCUAAUCUAACUCUAGAUCCAAUAAGUUUAGCAGUGUGGUUCAUGGAUGAUGGAAGUAGAUGUAGUAAAGAGAAUGUGUAUCUUAAUACUCAACAAUUUUCUAAAGAUGAUCAAUAUAAAUUAUUGGAGAUCUUGGAGAAAAUGGGAUUGAGUGGCACAUUGAAUAAAGAUAAAACAUAUCAUCGAAUCAGAUUCAAAACAUCUGGUAUUCCUAAACUAUUUGGAAUCAUACAAAAACAUAUUAUUCCAUCUAUGAAAUACAAAAUUGGUUUAUGACCCUGUAGAGACUUGACCUUAACUGGUCGGAGUGUGAAGAAAAUUCAUACUAACACGCCGAACCCCAACACUCUUGUUGGGUGAAGAUAUAGUCCGAUCCUUCUGGCAACAGAAGAAAAAUGUCGACUAGCGAUGUCGGCUCACCUUAGCGCGGCGGCGGAGAAGCUGCCAAGCGUUUGGCUGUUCGCCAAUUAAAAAGGUACGCGAGCUGGGUUCAGACCGUUUAGAACCUNNNNNNNNNNGCUGGGUUCAGACCGUUUAGAACCUCACCCCCAACCCCUCUCCUUGUCAAGGAGAGGGGGGCCGAAAGGUCGGGUGAGGUGCUGGACAGUUUGAACCCUCAGAGGAAUUUAAGAACUAUAUUGAACUUAAUCUGUUAUGUAACCAAGUGCAUUAAAUUGCACAUCACGGCGGCGUAUUGCAGAAAUGCAGUAUGGCAAGCUAACUUAUAUCGGCGAAAUCCUAAUCAUCAAUGGUGAAGGAUAAUGCCGAGGGAAUACUUUAUUAAAAUAAAGCACCCGUAGAGACUGAAUGUUAGCGAUCCUGAGAAAAUUCUAAGGAUUAUGUCACAGUCCAAUCCCCAAAGUAAUUUGGGAUGUAGAUGCGUGAGACAGGUUGGUCUCCUAUCUACUGCACUCGUUGAUUCUUGAGAAGAUUUGCUCCUAGUACGAGAGGACCGGAGUGAACUGACCUCUGGUGUACGAGCUGUCCUGCCAAGGGCACUGCUCGGUAGCUAUGUCGGGAAUGGAUAACCUCUGAAAGCAUCUAAGAGGGAAGCCAGCUUCAAGAUUAGGAAUCGUUAAGAACCCUGAGAGAUGAUCAGGUUGAUAGGCUUUAAGUGUAAGGCGAGUAAUCGCUUCAGCUGAGAAGUACUAAUGUUUCGAUU
rnacentral:rRNA from 1 species